rnacentral:rRNA from 1 species
GGGGGGAUUAGAGCCCGCGGCCUAUCAGCUUGUUGGUGGGGUGACGGCCUACCAAGGCGACGACGGGUAGCCGGCCUGAGAGGGUGUCCGGCCACACUGGGACUGAAAUACGGCCCAGACUCCUACGGGAGGCAGCAGUGGGGAAUAUUGCACAAUGGGCGCAAGCCUGAUGCAGCGACGCCGCGUGGGGGAUGACGGCCUUCGGGUUGUAAACCUCUUUCACCAUCGACGAAGGUCCGGGUUCUCUCGGAUUGACGGUAGGUGGAGAAGAAGCACCGGCCAACUACGUGCCAGCAGCCGCGGUAAUACGUAGGGUGCGAGCGUUGUCCGGAAUUACUGGGCGUAAAGAGCUCGUAGGUGGUUUGUCGCGUUGUUCGUGAAAUCUCACGGCUUAACUGUGAGCGUGCGGGCGAUACGGGCAGACUAGAGUACUGCAGGGGAGACUGGAAUUCCUGGUGUAGCGGUGGAAUGCGCAAAUAUCAGGAGGAACACCGGUGGCGAAGGCGGGUCUCUGGGCAGUAACUGACGCUGAGGAGCGAAAGCGUGGGGAGCGAACAGGAUUAGAUACCCUGGUAGUCCACGCCGUAAACGGUGGGUACUAGGUGUGGGUUUCCCUUCCUUGGGAUCCGUGCCGUAGCUAACGCAUUAAGUACCCCGCCUGGGGGAGUACGGCCCGCAAGGCUUAAACUC